GAUGAACGCUAGCGACAGGCUUAACACAUGCAAGUCGAGGGGCAGCAAUUUGUAGCAAUACAAAGUUGGCGACCGGCGCACGGGUGAGUAACGCGUAUGCAACCUACCUACAACAGAAGAAUAAUCCGGCGAAAGUCGGUCUAAUACUUCAUAAAACAGGGACAUCGCAUGAUGUUAUUUGUUAAAGAUUUAUCGGUUGUAGAUGGGCAUGCGUACCAUUAGGUAGUUGGUGAGGUAACGGCCCACCAAGCCUACGAUGGUUAGGGGUUCUGAGAGGAAAGUCCCCCACACUGGUACUGAGACACGGACCAGACUCCUACGGGAGGCAGCAGUGAGGAAUAUUGGUCAAUGGGCGAGAGCCUGAACCAGCCAAGUCGCGUGAAGGAUGACGGCCCUAUGGGUUGUAAACUUCUUUUGCAGGGGAAUAAAGAUAUUCACGUGUGGGUAGUUGUAUGUACCCUGCGAAUAAGCAUCGGCUAACUCCGUGCCAGCAGCCGCGGUAAUACGGAGGAUGCGAGCGUUAUCCGGAUUUAUUGGGUUUAAAGGGUGCGUAGGUGGACUAUUAAGUCAGUGGUGAAAGUUUGUCGCUCAACGAUAAAAUUGCCGUUGAAACUGGUGGUCUUGAGUAUGGAUGAAGUAGGCGGAAUGCGUGGUGUAGCGGUGAAAUGCAUAGAGAUCACGCAGAACUCCGAUUGCGAAGGCAGCUUACUAAGGCAUAACUGACACUGAAGCACGAAAGCGUGGGUAUCAAACAGG
rnacentral:rRNA from 1 species